UUGAGUGUUAUCUUCUUGGAUUACAUUACCCGUGUCUAUUAAUUCUUGCUAGUUCUGUCACCUCGGAUAUGAUUCAUAUCCGGGAAGGAUCUGUUGAAUCAUGGGAGAUUUGCGCUUAUCAGGCGGAUAAAUCCUUAAGGACAGUGCGAUCAGCACGCCUCAGGUAUUGUAUCACGGUUCACUAUUUUGCAGGUUUAUGAUUCUGUGGUUGUUUACUAUGCGGUUGACAUCAAACUACUACACCCACAAGAGAUAAGUUCCUAUGAACUCUAUUUUAAUUUGUUCUCUAUAAUAUUUGUUGAAUUACUUAAAUUAAUAAAUUGUUGAAUAUUGUGAUUAGGUCCAAUUAUUUACAACAAUCUUAAGGAUUUAGUCUCUUGUAUUAUGCUCAGACUCUAAAACCCCAAUUUUGCGGCGAGAGAAAAACUACAAUUUGAAUACCUAAGUACAGUGGGUGAUAAAGAAUUAUGUGGAUAUAUAGCUGGAAUUUUCAAUCCACGAAAUGAUGGUAUAUGGUUAGUGCAAUCCCUUAGAUAUGAAUGUUGCAAAAACGUGAUAUAAAAAUCCAAGUAAGUCUCUCUUUAAUUGAGCUUGUUUAAUUUGAUUGUGAAACAUAUAUCGAUCUAUAUAAAUUUCUGUGAAUAAUUUUUAUAUCUUACUCAACAUCCAUGAGAAUGAAUGGUAAUUCUUGAAAGUAUAUAUUCAAUUCCUAAUUGGAU
rnacentral:lncRNA from 1 species